rnacentral:snoRNA from 1 species
GUUGGCUAUGAAGAUAAAAUCAUGCAGAUUGAAGUUCCGUGAUUGUUUUAUACGCUAUUCUGAGCCAAC